AGAUUGAACGCUGGCGGCGUGCUUAACACAUGCAAGUCGAUCGGUAACAGGUGUAGCAAUACAUGCUGACGAGAGGCGGACGGGUGAGGAAUAUUUGGGAAUCUGCCCAUCAGCGGGGGACAACCCGGGGAAACCCGGGCUAAUACCGCAUACGCUCCAUGGAGGAAAGCCGGGGACCGCAAGGCCUGGCACUGAUGGAUGAGCCCAAAUCGGAUUAGCUAGUUGGCGGGGUAACGGCCCACCAAGGCUACGAUCCGUAGCUGGUCUGAGAGGACGAUCAGCCACACCGGAACUGAGACACGGUCCGGACUCCUACGGGAGGCAGCAGUGGGGAAUAUUGGACAAUGGGCGCAAGCCUGAUCCAGCGACGCCGCGUGGGUGAAGAAGGCCUGCGGGUUGUAAAGCCCUUUCGGUAGGGACGAAAACUCUCGACUUAACACGUCGAGGGAUUGACUUAACCUACAUAAGAAGCACCGGCUAACUCUGUGCCAGCAGCCG
rnacentral:rRNA from 1 species